UAAUGGAUCCCCAUUCUGUCUUUUGCUACACAUUCACAAAUAAAUAUUUACUGACUGCAAAGCAAAAGACAUGAUGGGUAUCUAUUC
rnacentral:pre_miRNA from 1 species